CUUGCCCAGUGUUUUCUCAGAACAGGCUUUCUUUACCUGUCCCUACCUGCUCUGAGGGUUUCAAACUGUUUCCUCAGGUCAGCUCAGUUGCUGGGGCUGGACCAACCACCCUUCCUCCAGACCUCUCCAUCCUGCUGCCUCCCCACUACUUCUCCCUCCUCCUACUCCUCCCCCUCCUCCAACCUCUCUCCUUCCCCCGCCCUCACCCCUCCCCCACCCCUCCCUUCCCCUUCUCCACCGGUCUCCCUCCCCUACCCUGAUAAUUUCCUUGCAAUGCUUCCCUGCUAUCUUCAGUAGGUCGGUUUCUUGAGGGAGAAGACUGAAUCAGCCAGCUGCACCAGUUGGAUAAAGGAACCCUGGGUGGUUACUUCUGAGGCUGCCAGCUUCUGCCAGCUUAAGGUGUGGCCCAGAUUUAAGGUGGAUCUUCCUGCCUCAAAAGACCAGAAUUUAAGGUGGAUCUUCCCAUUCAAAUGAUUUAAUUAAGAAAAAAAAAAAUCCCUCGACGGUGUACCCAGAUGCUUGGGUUUUAAUUAAUUCCAGAUGCAGUCAAGUUGACAGGCGGUAACAGCCACCACAGCUGAUUUUCCCUUCGCCAGAGGUCACUGCUGGGCCUGUUUCGUGAACCCCAAAAGACCACCAAGGAGCUGAUUCCGAUGCAGUCACACCAGGGUCUUUUUUGCAAGCUCCCAGCUUAGGCCACUCUGCCAUCUCUGACACAGCCAAACACGGGGAUGAAGCCCCAAGCUCUCGGCGGGACGAGGUUUUAUAGGAUAUGGCAAGUAAAUGAGGGGGUCCCCAGCCUGGCACACAUCUGACGGAGGAGCACAAUUACAGAAUUUUGUUGCCCUUUAGCAUCAUUGGCUGGGGAUGGAAGACAGAUCAUAAACUUAACUUCUGCUUUCCUCCUGGUUGGUGGUUGCUAGGAAGUGACGUGCGGGGGGGCGGGCCUGUAACCUGGAAACUGGUGCUAGACUCACGUUUGUUGUGGAGUAGCCUGGAAACUGGUGCUAAGCGCAGGCUUGUCAGUUAACUGGAGUUCAACCUUAGGUCAAGUUCUUUAAGACGGAGUCUAAACCCAAGAUCCAGUCUCUCAGUUAUCAGUUGCAAAUAACUUCUUGUUUAGGGGCGGGACUCCAUGUCCACUCUCCCUACUCACUGCUGGAGCCACGCACAUCUUGAAACUGAGAAGGUUUUGUGUUCGCUGCCAUGGUCUCUGUGAGUUUGUAUGUGCAUCCAUCCUGCUAGAAGCCACCAUUUCCUCGGAGUCAUCCAUCACCUCUGGCUCUUGCGAGCUGUCUGUCUCCUCGUCUACGCAGACCCUGAGCAUUGAGUCUUUUAGGACCCAGUGUUCCAAAGUCCCUCCCUCUGCGUACAUUGUUCAACUGUGGUUCUUUCUUAGUCUACUGUUCUAUUGCUAUGAAGAGAAACCAUGACCAAAGAAACUCCUAUGAAGGAAAUAAAUACUUGGUUUGGGGUUUUCUCACAGUUUUAGAGGUUUAGGCUAUUGUCAACAUGGUAGACAACAUGUAGACACGGUGCUGGAGAAGCAUCAGAGAUUUCUCAGCAUCCAGAUCCACAGGCAGCAGGAAGGGAGAGCCCCUGGACUUGGAAUGGGUUUUUUGAAACCCCUCCCGCUCCCACAGUGACACACUUCCUCCAACAAGGGCACACUUUCUCAUCCUUUCAAUACUGGUAACCAAGCAUUCACAUCUGUUAGCCUACGGGGGCCAUUUCCAUUCACAACAGGGUCUCUGUGUUGAUUUCUGUCUGCUGCAGACAGAAGCUUCUCUGAUAGGAAUAGCGAGGUAUUCUGUUAGGAGUCAUUUCAUCACUUUAGCAGAAAAAUAGUAUUCCAUUUUCUCCAAAGUCCAAGACUUAUCUAGUCUCAGGUCCUUGGACACUUUAGCAGUGUCAAAUAGGAGUCUCGUGUCAUGGAGUGGGCCUUGAAGCCAACCAGAAAGUGGUUGGUUGCUUCCAUGAUGUUUGUGACGCUGCUGCACUGGUAUUCCUCUCAGGCCGGUCACUGUGGUAGCUUCCAGGGUUUGUAGCUGGGCAAUAGUGAGGGUCACCUUUCUUCUCUGGUAGCACGCAGAGUGUAUUCUAGCACCACGGACAUGUGUCAGCAGGGGUGAGCCUUCUAGCUACUGAUUGCCUUAUUUAAGAAAACAAUCUUGUACGCAUAAUGUUUUUGUGAUCGGUGGUUAAGAUAGCCCUUGUGCUAAUCAAAUGCUGAUUUCUCCAACCUCGUAUCUUGUUUCCAUCUGGACACAGCGUUGUAACGCCUACGUCCAGAAUCUCCUGUCUUGAGUUCAUAUAAACAAUGCUCACCAUUUAUUCUGUGUUGUCAGUAAAAGCCGAUCAGCCGAUGGCUGGGCAGAAGAGAGAAUAGGGCAGAACUUCCACCAGCCGUGGGAGUUGGAGCGAGAAGAGGAAGAAAGGCAGAGCCACACCACGAGGACAGCCUCUGAGGAGACCUCAUGAGAGUUCAGCAGGACCAUGGAAGACCCUGAAUAGGUCCUUUCUAUGAUGGGGAUUUUGACUGGUGGGAGGUAGCAAUAUUAGAUUAGAGAUUUAAGAUAGAUCAAUACUGCCCAGGUAUCCUGCCAAAGCCUGACGUAAUUUUCGGUCUCUCUGUGUCAUUUUUGGAGAGCUAGCUAAGCUAGCUAGGAUAAAGAAAAACAGCCACUGCAUUAAUUAAACACAUACAUUCAUAUUAAAAUUAACAUUGACAAAA